UGAGGAAUAUUGGUCAAUGGGCGGAAGCCUGAACCAGCCAUCCCGCGUGAAGGAAGAAGGCCUUAUGGGUUGUAAACUUCUUUUCUGUUUGAAGAAUAAGCUUGUCGUGACAAGUGAUGCCGGUAGGACAGGAAUAAGCAUCGGCUAACUCCGUGCCAGCAGCCGCGGUAAUACGGAGGAUGCGAGCGUUAUCCGGAUUUAUUGGGUUUAAAGGGUGCGCAGGUGGUUUAAUAAGUCAGUGGUUAAAGUCUGCCGCUUAACGGUAGGAUUGCCAUUGAUACAGUUGGACUUGAAUAUGGAUGGGGUAGGCGGAAUGUGUAGUGUAGCGGUGAAAUGCUUAGAUAUUACACAGAACACCGAUUGCGAAGGCAGCUUACUAAUCCAUGAUUGACGCUGAGGCACGAAAGCGUGGGGAUCAAACAG
rnacentral:rRNA from 1 species